rnacentral:lncRNA from 13 species
GUGCAAUGGCAGCCUUGGUGAAAUCAGUGUUCAUGGAGUGGUGGAGAAGGAGGGGAUACUGCCGCGGAGUGAAUGUAAAGGAAGUAAAUGUGAAAAGCAAGGGCAUCAUCUGAGUAAGUUGUCUUUCCUGCACCUGUUUGGAAGAUCCAUUCCCACACUAUGCCUGGUUCUUGUGAUGGAUCCAGCAUGUUCAUCAGGGAAGGUGAGUGUUGAGUUCCUUUUAAAUGGCAGGAUGUACAGG